UGAGGCCUAUAGGAAGACAGGCUUUGUGGGAAGGAUGCUGGGCCCCAAGGAAUACCUCAGGGAUAAGCUGGGGCUCUAGGGUCCUGUUGGCCAGUGACUGAUGCCAGAGGCCCUGAGCAGCCAGAACUGCUGUCACGCUCUGAGAAGUGGAGAGGGGAGGGAGAACCAGGCUGUUGACUCUCCAGCAAGUGGGGUGAGCUGUCUCGACUCCUUCACGAAGGCCAAGCAAGCUGCAGCUCUCAGAGGAAAGCAAGCCUCCUUUUCCACUGCCACUUCCUCCUCCCAGAGCUCGGCUGUGUCAGCACCCACGUGUGCUGCUCAGACCGUGGUUUGCCACUGCUGUGGCUAGCCUAGGUCUCAGGAAGUGACUCUCUUUUGGGUUCUCUCUGGGUUGGCCGUCACACUUUCCGACGGCUGAGGGGCCCCAGCGGAAACCCAGACACCCAGACGGCUUGUCCUGGAGUGCUUCUGGGUACAGCUUUGCUCCCAUCCACGGAGGGCUUUGAGGGAUGAGAAGAAGCCUGGAGAGGCCACGUGUGAGAGUCUCUGCGGCCCUGCCUGGCCUGGAACUUGGAGUGAUCCUCCUGCCUCUUCUUCCUGGGGGCUGGGAUCACAGUUUUUCUCUGUGAUGCCCCACACAUGAGUGCCUUCUGCUCAGGCCACUCAGAAAGCGGACCUGGCAGGCCUGAAGUGGACAUGGGACAGUAGGCUCUGGAGGGCAUCAUGUUUCCCAUUCCAUGGAGCAGUGUGUGCAGCCUCUGGCCUUCCGGCCCUGAGCCUUUGGAGAGACUGCUCGGCUCGCUGCUGGAAUCCCACACUGGGAGGAGCUGCGCCACCUAGUGGACCUUUCGCCAUCUUGGUGGUAGAGCUCGCACAGACGCCACCUCCAGUUUGACGCUUGGGUAGGACCCAAACGGAAGCCGCUGUCCAGCUCUCAGGACUGACGAGAUGAAGCCAGCCGUGAGUGGUAGAACCGAGAGGGAACAACCGUGGCGUUUUGGAGGGAAAUUAUCGCUCACUAGCUGAAAUUUAAGUUAAAGGGAAAGGUCUUUUUGACCUGGAAACAGCUUGUUCCUGUCAUCCAGGUUGUUGCAGAUAGAGGGACCACUGUUUAGGGUCCUAAGUUCCUCCCUCCUCUGUCAGCUUUCUUGCAGGCUGAGCAAGGCUAAUCACAGUAGAGCUGGCGCAGCCUAGAGGGAGCUGCUGGCUUUCCUCUGACGUCAGGGCCUGGAAAUCCCAUUUUAAGCAGGUUCUUGGGAGGUUGGAACACCCACAAGAAGGGAGGAGAAGCCAGAUGAAGCAACUUCAAGCCUGAGGCCGUCAGAGUCUGGAACCCAGGCCUGCAGGGCUGCCUAAUGUUCCCGGGAGACCCGGAAACGUGACGCAGCGCUAGACCCUUAGCCCUCAAGCUAAAGCCUCUCAGAGGCUCUUGAGAACCCUUUGAUUUAGUGCCCUCCACCUAGCUCUAGCCUGAGAAGACCUGAGGCAAAGGAGAGAGGGCAGGUGGACCUAGGGAAUGAGGACAUCAUGAGGUUUCUCAUACCAGGGAGUCCCACCAGCCAACUUCUCCUGAAAGGCUUUCCGACUAUUCUUUCUGUCACCCUCCAUCUCUCCUCUCCUCCCCUGCAUCACGGGGGGCAGGCCCUGUGCCCAGAGUUCUGGAAGCCUGAAUGUUUCCAUGGCAACAGAACAAAGAGCUUGGAAAUCUGAACAUGUUCCUUUUGACACACACACACACACAACCCAGAUGUAUAUAUAGAGAAUGGUCACGUGGUAGCCAGCAGUAGUCGCGACACCAAUGUGUGUGUGUGUGUGUGUGUUAUGCAGCAAAUAAAUACAAUGUAUACAGAA